rnacentral:rRNA from 1 species
AGCAGCCGCCGCGGGAAUACGUAGGGUGCAAGCGUUAAUCGGAAUUACUGGGCGUAAAGCGUGCGCAGGCGGUUUGUUAAGACAGAUGUGAAAUCCCCGGGCUCAACCUGGGAACUGCAUUUGUGACUGGCAAGCUAGAGUGUGGCAGAGGAUGGUGGAAUUCCCGGUGUAGCGGUGAAAUGCGUAGAGAUCGGGAGGAACAUCAGUGGCGAAGGCGGCCAUCUGGGACAACACUGACGCUGAGGCACGAAAGCGUGGGGAGCAAACAGGAUUAGAUACCCCCUAGUCCCUGUCUCUUAUACA